rnacentral:misc_RNA from 1 species
AAGUCGUAACAAGGUUUCCGUAGGUGAACCUGCGGAAGGAUCAUUAACACGGUUUAAACGUAUCAACCAAACCGCGAACUCCGACAACCUCUCUCAGGGAAACUUGGGAGACGGUUACGCCUGAGCAUGUUAGGGGAAAGUGCUGUUUAGGGGGCUUGCUCCUUUACAGAGGCUUCCUUGUUCCCAAACCAUAUUUAUUGUGGAUUUUUCUGUUCUAAAGGACGUGGCGUUCAUCGCUAUUGUCUCUUUACUCCAAACUUGUACAACUCUUCUUGGUUUCC